UGGGCCAGCUCUAAAUAAGGUAAAGAUGG
rnacentral:piRNA from 1 species